UCCAGGCACUGGGCGGGAGCACAGCAGGACCUCUUCUGUUAAAGGGGCCUUGCCAGACCUCUCCAGUGGAAGGACGGUGGAGCCCAGUCCUCCACUACCUGUGUUAGGAGUGAUAGCCCCCAGGCCAUGGAGUGUACAGUAGGACAGAUUGGCAAGGCACAGCAGAUUCCAUUGUUUGACAAGGUCUCUGAUUGAUUUAUUUUUUAUUUUCAACAUAUUUUGAUCGCUAUAUAUUUACAUUUUUAACCAUCAUUUAAAGUGUGCAUUUCAGAAGCAUGGAUUUGGUAUGAAAUCAGACAUCAGCAGAAUAAAUGGAGAGAAUUGUUAUAAAAUCUACUAUCAUCCUUAAUUAAGUGCCAGGGAUUACUCUGAUUAAUUGAGACAGGUGGUAAUUAAGUCAACAUACUUCAUCCUCUUUUUUAAGAAGAUAAAUUUGUUGGUGAAACUUAUGUUUUUCCUGAAGACUCUUCCUGGCUUGAUUGAUUACUUUGAAAUUGAAAAAUGUUUGAGGAAGCAUAAAGAUCCAUUUUCAUUCUUUUCCGAGUAGAUCAAUUGUUUCCUCUGCACUCAAGUUUCAGAACUGUCCCAUUACAAAAUCCAGAGAAGACCUCUAUGCUUCUUCUGAGUCUGAAGAAAAGAUGGGACCAUGAUAUAAAGAUGCUUGUGGUAGUGACAUGAUUGUGGAGAACGCAAAGGGCAGAAACCUUGCCAGCCUUAUCAUCUGCUUUCUGAAACAAGGAACCAGGCCUAAUUGUAUAACUCCAUAGUCAAAAGAAGAAAGAUCUGACUUUCUGAAAUAUCAUUUUAAGACAGGCCCAUUUCUACAAGUGAGAAAAUAAUGGGUCACGGGCAGCUUUGUAAUCAUGACAUGUCGUGACAUAUCGUGACUUUUUUUGCAUUGCUGGAGCUGGGUGGGUGCAGCCUGCGUAUGAUGCAACUGCCAGCGGGCCAGCAGUUUGACACUCUUGCUCUAUGGGGAUGUUUUUUUUAAAAAAGGUAAAGAAAACAAAAUCCCAACCUUAUAUCUGAUUCCUUAGAAAUAAAUCUCACUGAGUUCAGUGGAAUAUAUAGCCCUGUAUGUGUCCAUAAAACUGCUGUGUUUUAAAACAGGGGUCCCCAACUCUGACUUGGGGUCUUGAGCCUUUCAGAACCCAGCUGCAGAAGGGGUGGGUGAGCUUGCCCACGCGUGCAUCCCCACUUGUGCUAGUGGUAGGCAAGCACAUGUAAAUGGAGCUGCACAGAUGGGCGUGCUUGCCUGCUACUCACACAGAACUAGUCCCUCUGCCUCCGCCUGGUUGGCAAAGACAAAAAGGUUAGGGAACUCAGUUUUAAGAUAUACGGGUAAUCCUUGAUUUACAAGUUUGUUUAGUGACCAUUCAACGCCAUUGAAAAAAGUGACCAUUUUUCACACUUAUGACCUUUGAAGCAUCCCCAUAGUCACAUGAUCAAAAUUCCCAUGCUUGG